rnacentral:rRNA from 2 species
GGUGAGUAACACGUGGGUAACCUGCCUGUAAGACUGGGAUAACUCCGGGAAACCGGGGCUAAUACCGGAUGGUUGUUUGAACCGCAUGGUUCAAACAUAAAAGGUGGCUUCGGCUACCACUUACAGAUGGACCCGCGGCGCAUUAGCUAGUUGGUGAGGUAACGGCUCACCAAGGCRACGAUGCGUAGCCGACCUGAGAGGGUGAUCGGCCACACUGGGACUGAGACACGGCCCAGACUCCUACGGGAGGCAGCAGUAGGGAAUCUUCCGCAAUGGACGAAAGUCUGACGGAGCAACGCCGCGUGAGUGAUGAAGGUUUUCGGAUYGUAAAGCUCUGUUGUUAGGGAAGAACAAGUACCGUUCGAAUAGGGCGGUACCUUGACGGUACCUAACCAGAAAGCCACGGCUAACUACGUGCCAGCAGCCGCGGUAAUACGUAGGUGGCAAGCGUUGUCCGGAAUUAUUGGGCGUAAAGGGCUCGCAGGCGGUUUCUUAAGUCUGAUGUGAAAGCCCCCGGCUCAACCGGGGAGGGUCAUUGGAAACUGGGGAACUUGAGUGCAGAAGAGGAGAGUGGAAUUCCACGUGUAGCGGUGAAAUGCGUAGAGAUGUGGAGGAACACCAGUGGCGAAGGCGACUCUCUGGUCUGUAACUGACGCUGAGGAGCGAAAGCGUGGGGAGCGAACAGGAUUAGAUACCCUGGUAGUCCACGCC